CUCAUUCUUAUUUCUUCCCUGCUGAGACGAAAAUCAACAUAAAAAGGAAAAAGCGAGAGAGAGAGCGAGAGAGAGAGGGAGCAGAUUUUUGGUUUUAUGGUUUCUCGUGAUAUGGAGAAUUAGGCGUGAUGUAUUGAUGAUGAUGUCUGCUCUGGGAAAAAAAAAUCAUCUUCUUCAGCAAUCACCAUCUCUAAUCUUUGAUAUGGUGCAAGGAAUUGUUCUUUCGCAAGUGAGGAUCGGAGCACGAGGAGUAACCCCCUACUUUGCUCUGUAACAAUUCCGAGGAUACAGAGAUCUACAAUAAGACCACAUAUGCCAUGUUUUUCUAUAUCAUACUUUGUGAGAUGUAAUUGUAGUUAAGCAAGAUGAGAAACCAUUCUAAUGUUCUUUUUCUUUUUCUUCAUUCAACAGUAAUCUCGGGAAUGUGAAUGUCGGAGAAGAUAUAAAGCAAGCAGAACACAAACCAGCUCUGCAGUUUUCUCUUGGAGGUAGCUAGUCUUCUUAGGAAUCCAUUCUGCACUUAGCCUAAUGCAGUCAUCUGCAAAAUAUGAAUAGGGAAACAAGUGUUACAAACGUAGCUAGCGGAAGAUAACUAGUUUUGGAAAGUCAAGCCAGCAAAAACUAAGACAGAUUUUCAAUCAAAAAACCAGCAACGCUGCUGCUCCACAGGACAAAACGAGGUCUUGCUCACUCCCAAGUUUUAAGCUCAACCUUUGAAAAACCAGAGAAC